UACAGAGGGGGCAAGCGUUGUUCGGAAUUACUGGGCGUAAAGGGCGCGUAGGCGGCCUGCUAAGUCGAACGUGAAAUCCCUGGGCUCAACCCAGGAACUGCGUCCGAUACUGGUUGGCUUGAAUCCGGGAGAGGGAUGUGGAAUUCCAGGUGUAGCGGUGAAAUGCGUAGAUAUCAUUUGGAACGCCAAUGGUGAAAACAGCUCGCUGGGGGUUUGCUGACGCUGAGACACGAAAGCCAGGGGAGCAAACGGG
rnacentral:rRNA from 1 species